AGAGUUUGAUCAUGGCUCAGGAUAAACGCUGGCGGCGUGCCUAACACAUGCAAGUCGAACGCCCUUCGCAAGAAGGGAGUGGCGGACGGGUGAGGAACACGUGGGGAUCUACCUUGAGGUGAGGAAUACCAGCGAGAAAUCGCUGACAAAACCGCAUAGCCUCGGCAACGAGGAAAGUCGCAAGACGCCGCAAGAUGACC
rnacentral:rRNA from 1 species